rnacentral:rRNA from 1 species
UACGGGGGGGGCAAGCGUUGUUCGGAAUUACUGGGCGUAAAGGGCUCGUAGGCGGCCAACUAAGUCGGAUGUGAAAUCCCCAGGCUUAACCUGGGAACUGCAUCCGAUACUGGAUGGCUUGAGUUCGGGAGAGGGAUGUGGAAUUCCAGGUGUAGCGGUGAAAUGCGUAGAUAUCUGGAGGAACACCGGUGGCGAAGGCGGCAUCCUGGACCGACACUGACGCUGAGGAGCGAAAGCCAGGGGAGCAAACGGG